rnacentral:rRNA from 1 species
GAGGAAUAUUGGUCAAUGGACGGAAGUCUGAACCAGCCAAGUAGCGUGCAGGAUGACGGCCCUAUGGGUUGUAAACUGCUUUUGUAUGGGGAUAAAGUCAAUCACGUGUGAUUGUUUGCAGGUACCAUACGAAUAAGGACCGGCUAAUUCCGUGCCAGCAGCCGCGGUAAUACGGAAGGUCCAGGCGUUAUCCGGAUUUAUUGGGUUUAAAGGGAGCGUAGGCUGGAGAUUAAGUGUGUUGUGAAAUGUAGACGCUCAACGUCUGAAUUGCGGCGCAUACUGGUUUCCUUGAGUACGCACAACGUUGGCGGAAUUCGUCGUGUAGCGGUGAAAUGCUUAGAUAUGACGAAGAACUCCGAUUGCGAAGGCAGCUGACGGGAGCGCAACUGACGCUUAAGCUCGAAGGUGCGGGUAUCAAACAGGAUUAGAUACCCUGGUAGUCCGCACAGUAAACGAUGGAUGCCCGCUGUUGGUACCUGGUAUCAGCGGCUAAGCGAAAGCAUUAAGCAUCCCACCUGGGGAGUACGCCGGCAACGGUG